rnacentral:rRNA from 1 species
AGCAGCCGCGGUAAUUCCAGCUCCAAUAGCGUAUAUUAAAGUUGUUGCAGUUAAAAAGCUCGUAGUUGAAUUUCGGGGUUUAUCCGUUGGUCGGGCUUUUUGGUCUGUACUGACGUGAUGGAUUCCUACCUUCUGAAUAACCGGCAUGCCAUUAAUUUGGUGCGCCGGGGAAGCAGGACUGUUACCUUGAAAAAAUUAGAGUGCUUAAAGCAGGCUUAUGCCUAAAUACAUUAACAUGGAAUAAUGAAAUAGGACGGCAUGGUUCUAUUUUGUUGGUUUCUAGGAUCACCGUAAUGAUUAAUAGGGAUAGUUGGGGGCAUUAGUAUUCAAUUGUCAGAGGUGAAAUUCUUGGAUUUAUUGAAGACUAACUUCUGCGAAAGCAUUUGCCAAGGAUGUUUUCAUUAAUCAAGAACGAAAGUUAGGGGAUCGAAGACGAUCAGAUACCGUCGUAGUCUUAACCAUAAACUAUGCCGACUAGGGAUCGGACGAUGUUAAUUUUUUAAUGACUCGUUCUGGCGCC